UCAGAUAUUCCAAUAUUUCAAUAAGCCUGAUAUUUUUUGGUGAGCCGAUUUAAAAAAUUCAGGUAGCAGGCCAAAUGUGUUCAUUUUUAUCUUGAUACUUGUCAUCAUAUAAUCUCCACUUUCCUAUCUCUUCUUCUUCAUUUCCAUUUCCUCCUAAACCAGUCGCAGACCAGCGCCUGUCCUCACUACUUCACACAAGCUGCUCUUUGGUCAGGUCACUUCAUCUGAUUGCCAAAUCUGCCAGUCUUUCUUCAGUCCUUGGCUUGUCACUUAACAGGGCUGACCACUUCUACUAUCUUGAAACUCUUCCAUCAGUGACUUCUGUAACCCCAACUUCUGGUUCCUCUUUACCUCUCCAUUCAUUGAUUUAUUCAGCAAAAAAUUUAACUGAGUACUGGUGUUAGGUGCUGGAUGUGGAGCAAUCAUCUAUGAUUAUGAGGACAGA
rnacentral:lncRNA from 1 species